rnacentral:rRNA from 1 species
UACGUAGGGUCCGAGCGUUGUCCGGAAUUAUUGGGCGUAAAGGGCUCGUAGGCGGUUCGUCACGUCGGGAGUGAAAACUCGGAGCUUAACUCCGAGCCUGCUACCGAUACGGGCAGACUAGAGGUAGGCAGGGGAGAGCGGAACUCCUGGUGUAGCGGUGAAAUGCGUAGAUAUCAGGAGGAAUACCGGUGGCGAAAGCGACUCUCUGGACGGCAACUGACGCUGAGGCACGAAAGCGUGGGGAGCAAACAGG